rnacentral:rRNA from 1 species
AAUCAACGCUGGCGGCGUGCCUAACACAUGCAAGUCGAACGCGAAAGCCCCGCAAGGGGUAAGUAGAGUGGCCAACGGGUGAGUAACACGUGGGUGACCUGCCUUCUAGUGGGGGAUAACGUCCCGAAAGGGACGCUAAUACCGCAUGACAUCCUGCUUUUGAAAAAGCGGAGAUCAAAGCUGGGGAUCGCAAGACCUAGCGCUUGAAGAGGGGCCCGCGCCUGAUUAGCUAGUUGGUGAGGUAACGGCUCACCAAGGCGACGAUCAGUAUCCGGCCUGAGAGGGCGGACGGACACACUGGGACUGAGACACGGCCCAGACUCCUACGGGAGGCAGCAGUGGGGAAUUGUUCGCAAUGGGCGCAAGCCUGACGACGCAACGCCGCGUGGAGGACGAAGAUCUUCGGGUCGUAAACUCCUGUCGAGCGGGACGAACGCUUCGCGGAUGAAUAAGCCGCGGAAUUGACGGUACCGCUAAAGGAAGCCCCGGCUAACUCCGUG